rnacentral:rRNA from 1 species
GUAGCAGAAAGUCAUGGAUCUGUCUUAAGAGCGCCCCAAGUACCACGGGACACGAGAAACCCUGUGGGAAUCCAUGAGGACCAUCUCAUAAGGCUAAAUACGUCUUGGCAACCGAUAGUGAACCAGUACCGUGAGGGAAAGGUGAAAAGAACCCCGGUGAGGGGAGUGCAAUAGAACCUGAAACCGUUUGCCUACAAGCAGUGGUAGCACGAUGCAUUUUCGGAUGCCGUGUGACCGCGUGCCUUUUGCAUAAUGAGUCAGCGAGUUACUUUACGCAGCAAGGUUAAGCCGAUAGAGGUGUAGCCGUAGCGAAAGCGAGUCUUAACAGGGCGUCUUAGUUGUGUGGAGUAGACCCGAAACCAGGUGAUCUAUCCAUGUCCAGGGUGAAGCGUGAGUAAAAUCCCGUGGAGGCCCGAACCGUCGUACGUUGAAAAGUGCUCGGAUGAGGUGUGGAUAGGGGUGAAAGGCCAAACAAACCUGGAAAUAGCUGGUUCUCCCCGAAAUAUAUUUAGGUAUAGCCUUGCGUGAUUGACUAGCGGGGGUAGAGCACUGGAUGGGCUAGGGGUCUCACCGGAUUACCAACCCCAACCAAACUCCGAAUACCGUAUAGUUUUAUCGCAGGAGUCAGACUACGGGAGCUAAGUUUCGUGGUCGAGAGGGAAACAACCCAGAUCGCCAGCUAAGGUCCCCAAAUUCAUGCUAAGUGGUGAACGAUGUGGAAAUGCUCAGACAACCAGGAUGUUGGCUUAGAAGCAGCCAUCAUUUAAAGAAAGCGUAAUAGCUCACUGGUCGAGUGGUUCUGCGCGGAAAAUGUAACGGGGCUAAGCAUGGUACCGAAGCUGCGGGUUAUUCUAAAUGGAUAGCGGUAGGGGAGCAUUGCAUGCGGGCAGAAGGUUGACCGUAAGG